rnacentral:tRNA from 1 species
CGCCGGGGCGGCGUCGGCCGGCGCGGCCGGCGGAACGGGCCGGGUGGAUCUCAACCGAGCCGACGCGGCGGCGUUCGACACCCUGCCCGGCAUC